AUUACCGAAACACCCUCAGAUCCGGUCCAAACACCUUCGCGAGCGAGACCCCCGGGGCCGGCGCGGCGCCCGCAGCCCCCCAGAAACACGAAGCGAAGAGUCGAGUGGCCUUCGAGAUUUCGCCGGCAUUCGUUUCAGUCGGUUGCGGCGCGGCAUCGGCGAGUUCCGAACGGAGCGUGGGUGUGAUCCGGCGAUCGGGCGGUGGAAUGGUGGUGCCGGAGGCUGUGGCGCUGGAGAUACCGGCGGCGGAGGAGGGGUCGCCGCCGCCUGCCAGGGUGCCGCCGAGGAUCAGGCGGAGGCUCCUCCGGGCGCGGGGCGGCGGUGCCGGCGAGACGCCGACGGCCGAGGAGAUCGAGGCCAAGCUCCGCGAGGCGCAUCUCCGGAGGCAGCAAUUCCACGAAACAUUGUCCUCCAGAGCAAGGCGCUCAAUUAGGAGUCCUUCAGGGUCAUCUGAGAAGGAGGAUCGUGGGCAGCUCUUGGAAGCAAAGCUUGUGGCCGCCAAGCAGAAGAGGUUGAGCCUCUUGGCAAAGGAACAGAGUCGGUUGGCUAAGCUGGACGAGCUGCGACAGGCUGCAAAAAAUGAUGCUGAGACGAGGUUUGAGAGGGAAAGGGAAGAACUCGGAAUGAGAGUUGAAUCGCGGGUUCGGCAGGCUGAGAAGAACCGUAUGGAACUCCUGCAUGCACGUUUGCAGAGGCGGGCUGCAUUGGAGGAGAGGACAAAAAGGUUUUUUGUGCAAAGACUGACUUGGGAGAACAAGUACAGGGAGCGUGUACGUUCUGCAAUCCUUCAGAAGCGUACUGCUGCUGAGAAGAGACGAUCAGGGCUGCUGGAAUCUGAGAAAAGACGGGGACAGGGUAGGCUCUUGCAGGUCCAACUUGCUGCCAAGACUGCCUCUAACCAGAAAGAAAUUGAGAGGGGCAAGUUAAAAGAGCAAUUGGAAGACAAACUUCAGAGGGCAAAGCAGCAGAGGCCCGAUUAUUUGAAGCAGCGAGGAAGUCCUCAUGGCUCUAUGCGCAGCAGUUCGGUUAAAAAUGGAGAAUUUCUUUCAAGAAAACUGGCAAGAUGCUGGAGAAUAUUCAUAACUUCUAGGAAAACAACAGUGGUGUUGGCUAGGGCAUUCGAUUCGCUGGGGAUAAAUCGGCAAACAGUUGUGUCUAUGCCAUUUGAAGAAUUAGCUAUAUGCAUUGAAUCUCCCAUAGUUCUUCAGACCACCAAGGCGUUGCUUGACCGGUUGGAGAGUCGUUUUGUUCUCUCUCAGUCAUCAAGUUCAUCAAAACCAGAAAAUAUUGACCAUCUUCUAAAGCACCUGGGAUCACCGAAGAGGAGGAUCCACCCAAGAAAUGCAGGAAGAAAUAAAUCAGCACCUAAAAGGGCAGUUGGAAAUCAUGACUCUGGCAAGCUGUCUAGAUAUUCGCAAAGGAUUGCACUUUGUGCAUACAUGAUACUAGGUCAUCCAAAAUCUGUUCUUAGUGGACAGGGUGAGCGAGAGAAAUUGCUUGUGGAGUCAGCAACAAACUUUGUGAAGGAAUUUGAAUUGCUGGUUAAAACAAUACUUGAUGCCUUAGAUGGUGCGUGCAUAUUGAGUCAGUCAGUGCUAGAUGUUGCCUCUCCUGGAUGUUCUAGUUAUGAGGAGUCCUCUUCCAUUGUUGCUGAUCGGAAGAAAUUCAGAACUCAGUUGGUUGCCUUUGAUAAAGCUUGGUGUGCUUAUCUUUACCAUUUUGUGGCAUGGAAAGCAAAAGACGCGAAAUCACUAGAGGAAGAUCUUAUUCGAGCCGCAUGCAGGCUUGAACUGUCAAUGAUCCAAGCAUGCAAAAUAACUAAUGAAGCCCAAUCAGAUAACCUAGGCGGUGAUUUGAAAGCCAUUCAGCAACAGGUUGCAGAAGACCAGAAACUUUUAAGGGAGAGGAUUCAACACUUGGGUGGUGAAGCUGGUAUUGGAAGGAUGGAAUCUGCUUUAUCUGAAACAAGGUCAAAGUUCUUUCAAGCAAAGGACGAUAGGAGCUCCAUUGCAGCUACAGCUGCAAAUAUAGCAUCUCCUUCAGUUGCAUGUUCUUCUGGACAGUGUACUGUUUAUGAAAUUAGGAAUAAUUCUAAUAUUGAUGCUGAAAAGACAAGUCAAGUUGUCAAAUCUCUGUUUGGAUCUUCUGGUUCCUCAUCUGAAAGUAGCAAAGGAGGCAAACACAUGAGUAGCACACUGAGCAUUGCAGUACCAGAAAAAAUGCCAACUGAAAAUGAACAAAUAGUCAAUGAGAUACUCCAUGACAUCCAUGGCUCUUUUGCUGACAUCUCUGAUGGUAUUGGUACUGUUGAAGGUGAUUUCAAGGUAAAAGUCAAGGAAACAAUGGAGAAAGCUUUCUGGGACGUGGUUGCGGAUUCAAUGCGAGGAGACAUGCCAGAUUACAGUUAUCUGGUCAGCCUGGUAAAGGAAGUCAGGGAAGCGUUGCAAGAGCUAGCUCCAACAGGGUGGAAAGAAGAAAUAAGUGACAAUAUUAACCUUGAAAUUUUGACCCAGGUACUUGAGUCAGGCUCCCAGGACAGACAUUACCUAGGACAAAUUUUGCAGUACUCUCUGGAUAAGCUGCGAAAGCUAUCUUCUCCUGCAAAGGAAGACGAGAUGAAGAAGAGUCAUGAUAAAUUGUUGGUAGAGUUGAUUGAAGUCCCUGAAUCAGAUUGUAGAGGUCCAAAUUCAUCUGUUCUUUCUGUCAUCAAGGGUUUGCGCUUCACUAUGGAAGAAUUAAAGGCUCUGAAGGCAGAAGUCAGUAGAGCACGCCUCCAACUAUUGGAACCAAUCAUUAAGGGAUCAGGUGGAGUGGAGUACCUGCAGAAGUCUUUUGCUGAUCGCUAUGGUUCCCCUUCUGAUGCGUUAGCUUCUCUCCCUUCAACUGCCUGUUGGAUUUCUUCCAUGAAAGGUAUUGUGGAAGAACAGUGGAAUGAACAUGUCAGUUCACUAUCGAUUCUACCAGCAGCAGACCAUGUCCAGCCGCUUGUUGCCACUCUCCGAAGUGGGCUUGCAGUUCCAGGUCAGCUACGAUCUGCGAUACCUGCAGCAGGCAGUACAGAGCUACCAGAAUGCGGGGGAGAAAGACUUGGCAGGUUAAUAAGGAUUGGGUUGUUGCAACUCAUCAGCAGCACGGAGGGUGUGCAAAGGCAGUCAGUUCCUGAGACAUUUAUUCUCAAUUGGUUGAGGUUGCGGUCUGUUCAGAGUAGAUUCCAACAAGUCAUUGUGAUAGCAACAAGCAUGCUUGUCUUGCAUCAGGUCUUAGUGAGUGAAUACCCGAAGAUAACUUCUUUAGAAAUGGAAAAUGCAACCUUGGAACUGUUCAACAUGCUCACUAGGCUACUAGACACCUUUGCAGAUGUUGGCACUGAAAAGAUCAUUGAGGCGAUGAUGCAUUCUUCGGCCUCAAGGAGCUCUUCAUCAAACGAAAUGAUGGAGACCAGGAAGCAGAUUUUGACUAGGGUCUUCCUUAAAAGCCUUCAGACCGAUGAUACCGUCUUCAAGAAGGUCUCUCAGUCUGUGUACUGUGCAUUCCGGGCAAUAACCCUGGGUGGCAGUGGGGAGAAAGGCCGCAAGCUUGCCGAUGCAUCCCUGAGGCGCAUCGGGGCAACAAAACUCACUGAGAGAGUGACGAAUACAGCUGAAGUGCUUAUCAGAGCAGCAAUGGUGUCAGAACAGGUGCACGGCCCAUGGUAUAAGCAGUUGUUGUGAAUGGUUCAAUUACUGAAUCUUGAUACGCAGUGUAACUUGCACCUUGUUGAGGUUGCGGAAACAGCAUUGUACAGCGAUCUGCGAGUGUUUGGGAGUCAGGAUCAAGAUUUCAAUCUUCCUAUGGCAGCGUGAGUAAUCAAUCUCUCUGAUGCUGAUCAGAACGCGGGAUGAGUUCAUCCUUGGGGAAGCAUGUAAUUUGGCGAUGCUUGUGUGAGGAUGCUCACGAAGACAGCUGCUCUGCCUCCGGUGCCGCCGCGGAAGCCUCGACUGCGGUAUCUAUGUUGUUUUCACCAGUAACUUUAAGGAUGUGCUUUACAAUAUCUUCUAUUAGCUUAUUUGCUUCAAAGUUGAGUGACACACAUAUCCAAAACUUGACAUCAAAAUGCUUUUGUACUUCUUGUUUGCGAUAUAUGUAUUGUGUAAGUGUGAUCUUCCCUA